rnacentral:rRNA from 1 species
GACGAACGCUGGCGGCGUGCUUAACACAUGCAAGUCGAACGAAGGGGCGAACGGGUGAGUAAUACGUGGGUAACCUGCCCUCCUUUUUGGGAUAAGCCUUGGAAACGGGGUCUAAUACCGAAUAAGGGGGGAUGGGCUCGGGGCUUAUCGGCUUGUUGGUGGGGUGAUGGCCUACCAAGGCGGUGACGGGUAGCCGGCCUGAGAGGGUGAACGGGCACAUUGGGACGGGGAAACGGCCCAGCGGCCGCAGGGGGGGGGCAGUGGGGGAUAUGGCAGAAUGGGCGAAAGACUGAUGCAGCGACGUCGCGGGGGGUAUGAGGGCUUUCGGGUUGUAAUCCUCUUUCGCAACCGAACGGGUAGGUGGAGAAGAAGCGCCGGCUAACUACGUGCCAGCAGCCGCGGUAAUAC